CAGGAAGUAGUUUAAUAAAAAUUUUAAUUUUGGAGAUUAAAGAUAGGGAUAGUAUACUCUUUUCCUGA
rnacentral:tRNA from 1 species